GAUGAAGAACGUAGCGAAAUGCGAUAAGUAAUGUGAAUUGCAGAAUUCAGUGAAUCAUCGAAUCUUUGAACGCUCCUUGCACUCCUUGGUAUUCCGAGGAGUACGCCUGUUCGAGUGUUAUGAAGCUCUCAAAACGCAAUUGGCUUAAAACCUGAUUGUUGUUUUGGAUUUGAACUUUGCCGUGUUAUAACGGCUGGUUUUAAAAGUAUUAGCUGGUACUAGAACGAAUUGGUUCUACUCAACGUGAUAAUUAUCUGAUCGUUGAGGACAUUCCUUUCACGAGGAAUGGCCAUAGUAAAUUCAAUGGACUGCUUCUAAUCUGGCUUUAAUUCUUUAUUGGAUUAACCACUUUUCAAAUCUGACCUCGAAUCAGGUGGGACUACCCGCUGAACUUAAGCAUAUCAAUAAGCGGAGGA
rnacentral:misc_RNA from 1 species